CGUGGGGGAUCCACUGUGGUGGAUGUUUAUGUUAACUUUUAUGUAGUUGUUUGUCUUGUUGCAUUUUUUAGUAUGGCUGUAUGGUAAUCGGAAUUACACUGUACCUUAAUUGGUACAUGUGACAAUAAUCUGACCUUGAAACCUUGCCAUGAAAAUAAAUGUGAGGGCAUGCGGUGAUGAGGAUGUUUGGAUUCUGCAAUGGGAUAUAUAUGGAUUAAGUGAAGGCUAAUACGUUUGUGAUGGACCAUGUGAAGGAAACCUUGUGGGGAUAUUUAAAGAGGAGGUAGGUAUUGUUCUUGAAAUAUUGGAGAAUUAAGAGAUACUGGGGCAGAUUAGGGCCACUGUGGCAGAUUAGUCACGAUCAUAUCAAAAGGCAUGACAUGGUUGAGGGGCCUAGUGAUCUAUUCCUGCCCUAUAUUUUUGUGUCUGCUUGUGUGCUCGUAUGUUCUUGCUGGAGAGGUGAGAUAACAGUAUGUUCCCUGUUGACUCAUUAAGGGUGUUUUCUACAAAUGAGCCCACUUUUAGGAUUUUUGCCUUGGGCUCUUUGAGCCAUAACUGCAACAUCUUCAAGAUUAUCCUUGCAGCUCCAAGCUGUCAAGAGCAUCCAGUGGGAUUCCAACACAAACACUCAUUGUGAGGAAAUGUCAAGUGUUGAUAUGACAUGGAAUUGGAGCAGAUUGCUGUGAUCAAUAGGAAUUAGUAUAGAUUGAAUAUAUAUUCUCCAGUGUGUUCUACAGCAAGCUACAAAAGUUAGAUAUGAAAGUAUGGUUGACACUUUAAAUUUUAUGGCUGCAAAAGCAGAUUUACAAUAUGAUAGGCUGGUUAAAUUGAGAGUGCCUAUUAACUGACAUGGUUAAGAAUAUCAUGUCUUAAUUUCACCUGGUUGUACAUACAAUGUGUUUCAUUAGGAGUGACACCAUUAUGUGUACUUCCAAAGUGAUAAACUUGUCAUCUGCACAGAGAUUCACGAUGUGAAGUACCAAAUUGAAUUUUCAAAAUGAGAAAACAUUAUUAUUGUUUUGCUCCGGUAAUAAAUGAUUUUCUCGCACAUUGCGUUAAAAUAAUCAACAUUUUGGUCAUUUAUUUUUUUAAUUUGAUCAUCGUCUUGAUAGUUGUAUGGGGUACCUCCAAAAUAACCAUGGUCAAGGUUCUAUCAAGUGUCAAGGUUGAUGUUAAAGUCAAAAAGACACAAAUUACAGGAGUAACUGUGCGGGUCAAGAAUUAUAAGCCCUGUCCCACGGUACGAGUUCAUUCCAAGAGCUCUCCCGAGUUAAAAAAAAAUCAAACUCGUGGUAAGCACGGUGAAUGAACGUAGCGGGUACGUCAGAGCUCGGGGAUGUCUGUUAGCGCUAACGGCAGGUAACGCUAACUCGGGAAGACUUGCUAACGGCAGGUAAGCACGGGAAGACUCAUGAAGAUUUUUCAACAUGAUGAAAAAUGUCCACGAGAGCCCCAAGUACCGACGAGUGGCCAUUACCGUAAAUCUCCGAGUUCGGAUCAGGGUAAACUCGGGAGAACUCUUGGAAUGAACUCAUACCAUGGGACAAGGCUUUAACUGUGAAUAACACGCAUAGGCAAAGUUUCAUGUUGGGCCCAUUAAAGAAAAAAAAGUGAUAUACUAUAUAUCCUGCAGAAUUAUUUCCAAUGAUUUAUGCACCCUACAGAAAUUUGACCAAACAUGAAUUAUUAUAACUAUGAAGUCAUUUUGCAUGAAUUGUGUAAUUUUCCCCAUAUAACAUGCAUUUAGGCCAAUGCCUAGAUAAUAGGUUACAUUGUUCUGAGACAUGCCUGUCACUAGGAACCAUCAGAACAACAUCGAUUACAGCAUGGCUCUUAGAAAUUAACCCAGUCAUGCACUUGAAACUCAGCUAAAAUAUGUACGUUCCAUUAUCUCAGUCUCAUCCCCUGACACUACAAACUUCCCUUGCCCCUCAUGUCCUGAAACUGUGCCUGUGAAGCCACCCUGAUUUUUCCAUCCUCAGCACGGCUGAUCGUACCCUAAUGUUAGCUACACACCCGCUAUAGUUUGAAAAAAAUGUUUUCUGGUUUCACUUUUUACUCCGCUAAUGUAUAUUGCUGCAAUAGCAGAUCUUUAAACAUACACAACACUGACAAAUUAUGAGUAACAUAAUAUUAUUUAGCCACUCCAAAGGGAAUCUGAAUAUGUUUAUUCAGACUCACUGUAUUAGAUCACAAUAUUCAUCAUCAUACUUUAUUUCCCCUGGCUUUCAAAACAAUCUAAUCAAAUGUCUGUUUUUCUUUCAAUCUUAAGUUACAGUUUAAACUGCUUCAGGGAUUCAGCUUCUGCAGUGAUAUGAACACAAUGAAUUCUUUCAUCUGCAAGAGUGUUGUCAUAUAAAGCCAAUCACAGCUGCAAAACAUUUAAUCUGCAAUUUAAUCUAUGAAUCUGGUAUGUGGAAAAGCUUGAGUAGUUAAUAUCCAACUGAGAGAGCAAUUAUUAAUUGGUGCAUCGUAAUUAGUUUGAGAUUUUUUUUAAUGUAUCACUAUUGUGAUGGCCCAGUAGGCAUGGAAGUAAGCUUUCCAAAUAGGCUAUUGAAAUCAUGUACAAAAUACACAAAAUGUCUUGACAGGCUGUAUGAUAAAUAAUCCAUGCAAGAGGAAAAACAUUUUACAGAAGAUGAUAUGCACUAUAUUAUUGUCCUCAGCCUACUGAAUUUAGCAAUAAGUGAAAUUAAAAAAUAUAUAACUGGAGGCAUUGCAGCCUAAAAUUGCAUGUAAUAUUCUGUUAUUGCACAGCACAUAGGAUUGUUAGUUUAAUAUUACAAGCUGGAGAAAUUCAUUACUUAAAAAAAAUAUUUCAUUAGCUUCAUUGUCAUUUAAGAUUUCUGUUUAUGUCACCAAAUAGACACUGUGGUAUUUUCUGUGUUAAUGAUCUAUGCCUUAGGUCAAAUGUAACUCUCAUUGGGAUAGAUUAACAGGAGCAGGCAGGGUAAGCUAAAUUAGAAUUCUGCCAGAGUAUCUGUAACAACAUGGUCCAGAAUAUGAAAAAUAAUUGAACAUUCUGGUGAUUGUUUACAUUCAUUGCUGCUGCAACUGCUCUCUCCAUUUGACCUCAGCGGAGACCAAAUUUCAUUCUGAGGUGGGAGUAUGACCCGCUUAAAUGAAAAAUAAUGCUGGAUACAGGCUGGGGAAAUAAACUAGCAGUCUGAAUGGAAGGGAAGUUCUGCUAUGGACUGUUGGACUAAAAUGCAAAGGUUGCAUUUCUAGUUGUUCAUUUUAAAACCGUCAUCUCUUCCAUUGCCUCAUAACUGGGGUGGGCGCAGUGGUAGAGUUGCUGCCUUACAGCGCCAGAGACCUGGGUUUGAUCCUGACUAGGGGUGCUUGUCUGUAUGGAGUUUGUACUUUCUCCCCAUGACUUGCGUCUGUUUUCUCCGGGAUCUUCACUUUCCUCCCACACUCCAAAGACAUGCAGGUUUAUAGGUUAAUUGGCUUGGUAUAAUUGUAAAUUCUUCCAAUAGGAUAGUGUUAGUGUGCAGGAAUUGCUGGUCGGCACAUACUCUGUGGGCUGAAGAUUAUGUUUCUGCGCUGUAUCUCUAAACUAAAUUAAACUAAACUAAAUUCCCUAAUACUGCAACUUUCCCCAGACCGAUAAUGCUCUGUCAGAUGUUUUACUCCAUUUAUAUGCUCUUGUAUAUCCCUCAUGUGAAUGUUUUCACCAUUAGCAGUUGUGCUUUCAAUUGCCAAGUCUCCUAAGUUCUAAAAUUCCUUCUCUAAACAUCCACAAUCCUUCCUCGUUUAUGAUGUCCCUUGAAACCUUCCUCUUUUGCUGAGCUAUUGCCAUUCGAUCUUAAUGUUUCCAUGUUUGGCUCAGUGUCAAAGCUUGUUUGGCAAUACUGUUGUGGAGAGUCUUGAUAUAUUUACUAUACUAAAGAUGUGAUAUAAAUGUUAGUGAAGUUCUAAAAUAAAAUAUUCUGCAAUCACCCACCAAUGUAUUAUGUAGAUGACAUGGUUGCUGAUCCCUCUUAAGUUUGUUUUGCAAUAAUGAAGCUGCUAAAAUUAAAGUGGAGGCACAAGAUCUUGCAGAUUCUUGAAUCUGCAGCAAAAAAUAAAUGUUGGAAACUGUUGCCACUUGUUGUGAAUUAAGUCCGACCUAAUAAUUUGCAUCUUGCUUAUAUCAGAAAAUGUAUGAUCAGUUCACCACUGGAAAUGUAGUGUCAUUGUCAUACAGUGUGGAAACAGCCCAAUCAGCCCAACUCACCUACACCAACAAAAUUUUCAAUCUAUGCUAGUCCCACCUGCCUGCAUUUGCCCCACAUCUUUUUAAUCCUGCCCUAUCCAUCUACCACCUGUCUAGAUGUUUCUUAAACAUUGCAAUAUUGAGAAAGUAUUUCUGUGGUUCAGUUCAGCACACAAGAGGACAUGAUUCUCAUACCAGUAUGUUAUGCAAAUGUAUAAAAUGUAUGUAGGUCAUUAAAAGAUAAUUCACAUGGAGUAAGAAAGUCAGAUAUUGUGUUUGUAACAUAAGUACUUGUGAGAGCGAAGGUUAUCUACAGGAGGCACAAAUUUGUGACAGUGAUUAUGUAGUCAUUUACAAAUGUAUGCCAGCUGAGCUCAUUGCUCAUAUUUAAAGCAGGUAUGAAAAUAAAUUAUUCUGUGGAGUUAAAUGUUUUUAUUGCCAUCAGUACAUGUUACUAUUUUAUGACACUUCUAGCCAUUAAAACUGGUUAAUCCAGUUCCAUGUUUAUGCUCUUAAACACAGAUAGAAUAUUAUUUGGUAGACAAACGUGCUGGAGAAACUCAGCAGGUGCAACAGCAUCUAUGGAGCGAAGGAAAUAGGCAAUGUUUCAGGCCAAAACCUUUCUUCAGAAUAUUAUUUAAGCAUUCAAAUGAAUUCUCUGCAGUUUAUUGCAUAGGUGUAACUCAUCAGCUUGCAUUUCAACAGUGCCUUCACCACAGCAUAUUCCAAUGUGCUUUACAUUCUGGUGAUUUUUCAGAUGACUGCCGGCGACUGUCAAGGCGACUGCAGGCGGAGGACAAGGCAAGCGGGGAGAGCGCUGUCUGAGUCAAAUUCACACGAUGCAAAGCCAAGGUGAUACAGACGCACACCGUGAUGAACAGGAAGGUUGGCGCUGUAAUUAAGCCGACUAAAGCACAGUGUACGCAAAGAGUCAUCAAGAUGCAGUGAGCAGCAGAACACAACAAGAAAUAACUUAAUAAAUCUCAUCUUUAACAUUUAAAUUGUUGUUUUGUUUUAAGAGUCAUUCACAUUUUAAACUUUAAUAAAUCCUUUUUCCAC